GCACUCGUAGUCUAACGGAUAGAAUGAUGGCCUCCGACGCCAUUGAUGCAGGUUCGAUUCCUGCCGGGUGCA
rnacentral:tRNA from 1 species